GAUGAAGAACGUAGCGAAAUGCGAUACGUAAUGUGAAUUGCAGAAUUCAGUGAAUCAUCGAAUCUUUGAACGCAUAUUGCGCUCUUUGGUAUUCCGAAGAGCAUGCUUGCUUGAGUAUCAGUAAACACCUCAACCUCUUCUUGAUUUUUCAAAAGGAGGGUGGACUUGAGCUAUCCCAACAACCUUUACCGGUCGGCGGGCGGCUUGAAAUGCAGGUGCAGCUGGACUUUUAUCUGAGCUAAAAGCAUAUCUAUUUAGUCCUCGUCAAACAGGAUUAUUACUUUUGCUGCAGCUAACAUAAAGGAUAAUUGUCCUCUUUGCUGACUGAUGCAGGAUUUUACGACACUUUAUGUGUUGUUCAACUCGAUCUCAAAUCAAGUAAGACUACCCGCUGAACUUAAGCAUAUCAAUAAGCGGAGGA
rnacentral:misc_RNA from 1 species